rnacentral:rRNA from 1 species
UUCAGACGAUGCGUCAUGCAUAUCAAUAAGCGGAGGAAAAGAAACUAACAAGGAUUCCCCUAGUAACGGCGAGUGAAGCGGGAAGAGCUCAAAUUUGAAAUCUUAAAGGGUUUCCCUUUACGAAUUGUAGUUUAAAGAAGUGUUUUCUGUUGAGGUUUUGGUAAAAGUUCUUUGGAAUAGGACAUCAUAGAGGGUGAGAAUCCCGUAUUUGACCUUUACUUUCAACUUUGUGAUACACUUUCAAAGAGUCGGAUUGUUUGGGAAUGCAGUCCAAAAUGGGUGGUAAAUUUCAUCUAAAGCUAAAUAUUGGCGAGAGACCGAUAGCGAACAAGUACCGUGAGGGAAAGAUGAAAAGAACUUUGAAAAGAGAGUUAAACAGUACGUGAAAUUGUCAAAAGGGAAGCGUUUGACACCAGUGUUGUUUUUCUGAAAAUCAAUUAAAGAACUGUUUAUGCUAAGCUGUUUAGACUUUAUCAGCUAUCUGUUUAGUUUUGAGCUUUUCUUUAAUGCACUUUUCAGUUAACAAGUCAACAUCAAUUUCUUUUGCUGUAAAAAAGCUUGAGGAAGGUGGCUUGAGAUUCGUCUUAAGUGUUUAUAGCCUCUUGCCUAUGCAGUCGGAGAGAUUGAGGUCUGCAGCGUAGAUCCUUCGGGGCUAAAUGCAUUUGUGCUAAGUUAUAGCAUUUUAUAGACAACUUGUUGACUAUGAUUUGUCUUGUAGCUUACUCGCUUAUGUUAUUUUACCUACGCUUAGGAUGUUGACACACGCGCGUGCUCG